rnacentral:misc_RNA from 1 species
UUAACUUUAUUUAUAAUAUUACUCAGACAACACAAAAAUCAAGAGUUUGGGGUCCUCUGGCAGGCACGGACCAGCCUAAGCCAGUGGUCAUAAGACGGGCCUGCCAAAGCAACAAAGGUAAUAUAAACAAAGGGUGGGAGAUCUACCCCAAAGGGCAAUUUCUCUGUAAUGAUCCUUCCGCAGGUUCACCUACGGAAA